rnacentral:rRNA from 1 species
GAUGAACGCUGGCGGCGUGCCUAAUACAUGCAAGUCGAGCGAACAGACGAGGAGCUUGCUCCUCUGACGUUAGCGGCGGACGGGUGAGUAACACGUGGAUAACCUACCUAUAAGACGGGGAUAACUUCGGGAAACCGGAGCUAAUACCGGAUAAUAUAUUGAACCGCAGGGUUCAAUAGUGAAAGACGGUUUUGCUGUCACUUAUAGAUGGAUCCGCGCCGCAUUAGCUAGUUGGUAAGGUAACGGCUUACCAAGGCAACGAUGCGUAGCCGACCUGAGAGGGUGAUCGGCCACACUGGAACUGAGACACGGUCCAGACUCCUACGGGAGGCAGCAGUAGGGAAUCUUCCGCAAUGGGCGAAAGCCUGACGGAGCAACGCCGCGUGAGUGAUGAAGGUCUUCGGAUCGUAAAACUCUGUUAUUAGGGAAGAACAAAUGUGUAAGUAACUAUGCACGUCUUGACGGUACCUAAUCAGAAAGCCACGGCUAACUACGUG